rnacentral:rRNA from 1 species
AUUGAACGCUGGCGGCAUGCCUAACACAUGCAAGUCGAGCGGAUGAAUGGAGCUUGCUCCUGGAUUCAGCGGCGGACGGGUGAGUAAUGCCUAGGAAUCUGCCUUGUAGUGGGGGAUAACGUCCGGAAACGGGCGCUAAUACCGCAUACGUCCUGAUGGAGAAAGUGGUGGAUCUUCGGACCUCACGCUAUCAGAUGAGCCUAGGUCGGAUUAGCUAGUUGGUUGGGUAACGUCCUACCAAGGCGACGAUCCGUAACUGCUCUGAGAGGAUGAUCAGUCACACUGGAACUGAGACACGGUCCAGACUCCUACGGGAGGCAGCAGUGGGGAAUAUUGGACAAUGGGCGAAAGCCUGAUCCAGCAAUGCCGCGUGAGUGAAGAAGGUCUUCGGAUUGUAAAGCACUUUAAGUUGGGAGGAAGGGCAGUAAGUUAAUACCUUGCUGUCUUGACGUUACCAACAGAAUAAGCACCGGCUAACUUCGUG